rnacentral:rRNA from 1 species
UACGUAGGGUGCAAGCGUUGUCCGGAAUUAUUGGGCGUAAAGAGCUCGUAGGCGGUUUGUCGCGUCUGCUGUGAAAUCUGGGGGCUCAACCCCCAGCCUGCAGUGGGUACGGGCAGACUAGAGUGCGGUAGGGGAGACUGGAAUUCCUGGUGUAGCGGUGAAAUGCGCAGAUAUCAGGAGGAACACCGAUGGCGAAGGCAGGUCUCUGGGCCACUACUGACGCUGAGAAGCGAAAGCAUGGGGAGCGAACAGG